GUUUCCCCAUCUCUGAAUGUCCACUGAGUCUCCCAGUGGCUGCCCAAAGACUUGUGCAAAUCAGAUCUUUCAGUUCAUAUUGCAUUGUAUAUGACCUUUAUUCUUCCUUGUUCAUUAGCUGAAUGAGGGAAACAAUGAGAAUGAGUUUCACUGACACUACCAACAAGACUUCUGGAUUGCUUGGUUGUUUAUUUACCAGUGUAAUAUACAGCAGUUACAGUGGCAUUUUCCAUCUGUCCAAAGUGUUUUGGGGAGAGAGAGAAAGUGAAUCCAAUACUUACUUCCAAGGCUUGGCAUUGAACUCCCACAACAUGAUGAGUCAUAUGGAGCUGGUUAUUUCCUUGAGAAUAGCAAGAAGCAAGUGAAAAUUAUCAUUUGAAUACAACAGCCCGCAAUGACACUCACUGUUUCUCUCUACUUUUUAGGCUGAACAACCCAGUUUUCUCCAUGAACAUUGUGUUCCUGCUUCCUAAUGGUCUCGAUGGCCUUCUGCUGGACUAUCUCUAGUUUGCCCAUGUCUUUCUUGCACUGGCAAGCUCCAAACUGGCCACAGCACUCCUGGUACAAUCUUGCAAGAGUCAAAUAGAGGUCAGCAACUCUACAGGUGAAAUCCCAUCUGAGGCCAUAAUUCUUUACUGGAUCAACGUGCUGAGGAAGCACCAUGGCAUGACAGAGUAGCCAGGGGGAUGUGGCACUGGUGACACUUCUGUUGGUGCAUGUCCUUCCCAGAUACCCACUGCUGAUGUGGCAAGGAGUUGCCAGGGAAUCCCUGAGGAAGGGAUUCCCCUAAGCAAGUGCAAGAUUCGGUUGGGUUUUGGGUUUAAAGCCACAUUGUAACUUCUACUUGCCUUCUCUUCAAUACUCUUAAGCCUUACAGACAAGGUUAUGUGGUGGGACAGAACAAGGAAAGACCAAUUCAGUGUUCAAAGGGAGGGUAUGAGCCCUUCAUGUUCAACUAUAGAACUGGGCAAAUGAUGUAGUGAUGAAAUCCAAGUUUAGAAAUCCUUGUUUAUCUGUUUAUGUUAGGGAUGCUAUAAAAAGCAUAUCACCAUGGCAUCCCAGCUCUUUCCAAUUAAAGAAAAGUAUUUCUACCAUUUACUUAGCAACUUUGACAAUAGCCUACAGCAGCAGUAAAACAACUUGACUGCCUGGCAUUUCACAAGAUAAAUUCUUCAGUAUGGUCUGUUUUUUCUUGCACUGUUGCUUGCAAAGACUUAAAAAGUUACUGCUUCUUCAGCGACUGAGACUGGUAUUGUUACACUCAUUUGAGCUAUGGAUCACUAGGUACACUUUGUACCUUCACACGCCAGUUUGAGAAAAAUCAAUUUUAGUCUCGAAGAGAUGAAACUAGUGUUGCAGAAGAUCAGUGCACAUUUCCAGGUGCUGCAGGGCACUGGCAUCUUAACGUGGAUUCAACAAAACAUGACAUAGGCUGACUUGAUGCAGAUAUGUGCUUCUGUCUGGACUCCUACCAGCUGGAAGCAGUUGCUGCUCCCCCAGCCUUUCCUCCUCUUCCUGUCAAUAUUCCCCGUAGAAGGUAAUCCUUUUUCUAAUCUGCUGGAUUUUCUUACCUUUGUGCUUCUUAACUAAAUGAUCCAAGUUAACAAAUAGAGCAUGCAUAGUAGAAUUUUGCUAAUCAAACUGAUUGGAACUGAAACAGGUUUGGAAUUGCUUAUUCAAGCAGGUCCACUGGGAGAUUAGUGGAGGCAGUAACCUCUAACUACUGCAGCAGGCCCAGGGUGGUAAUUAUUUCACCAGUGUUGAUCUGGCUGGAGAAGGAUAUAUGAAAACAGCUUAAAUGACAAACAGGGUAUAGAUCCUAUAUAAAUAUAGAUUGGAGCUUUCGCUCCAUUUCCCAGUGGAAGCACUAAAUUUGCAGCCAACUGCAGGCUCAAGAGCAAAACCAAAAGAACAAAAAGGGAGGUUGUGUAAAUAGAUUUAUGCAAGGAUUUACUCCUUUUUUUUUUUUUUUUCAGUACACUUUCCCAGGAAAUAUUGUUAGACAAGAAGGAAUGAUAUUGCAAUACACUCUGUAUUCUUCCUAUAACAAAUAUAGGUUUGUGCAGAGAGAGUCAGAACUUGCCUAGUCAUACCAGCUUUGUAUGUGCUGUUUGAAAGAAAAAGGCAGGUGAAAAUACACUUGCAAAUAGCAGUUCUGUAGAACAAGCUGGAUAAAGCAUUUAUAAAACAAGACCAAUUUAAGAAAUUCCAAGUAUAUAAGUGACUCAACAUGAUCAUAAAUCUGAUCUUCAUUGAAACUGAAGAACAAGCAAGGAUGUUUAAAGUGUUGCAUUAUGAAAAUUCUGGAUUUUUUUCUUAUUGUUUCCUUUAAAAACACAGCUGGUGAUGAUGACAAGGGUUUUGUGACAAAUUAUUUUAACAUUUAAACAUUUUACUCAGUGUAACUGGACACUUGUAACUUAUCGUAAUGAUUUAUGAGUAAAAACCCACCAGUGUUAAAAUGUUCAUAUCUUUUCUGUAAUUCUGGCAAAGAUUUUCUAAACGAUAAUAUUCUCCUUUUGUAUUUCAGGGUUCCUAUAGCACAUAGCAUGUUUGCAUUUGUUCCUACAAGAAAAAUUUCUCGAUGACAUAACCUUCACUUUAUCCUCCUUUUCUUUUUUGAAAAUACCUUUGAGCACAAAUCAUUGAUCUGUUUUUUUUUUACAUUACUAAUACUAUGAUACUCUAGUUACAGAUAAUUUUUAUCACAAGUAAUUGUAUUUGUAAUCUAAUUAUCUAAAAUAUUGUCAGGAUAUGCAGUCUUGCUCAAAUUACCUUUUACCGGGAGCUAAGUUUCUGUAGACAACAUGUAUACUCAAUAUAUUUCUUUUCUCAUAAAAGGAAGUUGAAAGAAGAAUCCCUUUAUCUUGGAGGGGGGUGCUGUUGUUCUAUUUUUGUUAACAAGAGAUGUAUCAGGAGCCUGGUUGAUAGAUUAGGUCAUCAGGAAAAUAAAGAGGAAUUUAGGGCAGUGUAAGACCUGUCCAUUCAUGGAAAUCACUGUGGAGAGGUGGAUCAAUGGGUUAUGUUUUCAAAAAAGCAGUGCAGGAAGGAUGGGUUAAAGCUUUGCUAAUAUUGUCCAUAUGUUAUAAGCCAGAACCAGUGGACCAUUUUAAUGUUGUGUUUCCCUGAGGUAAGAAGUGUUUGCCGUUGGAAUUCAAGCUCUUUUAUUUCCAUCUUAUUUUGCUUAAUUAAGAAAUCUGCUGUAUUUGAAGAGAAAAAUUCCUGCUUCCUCCAUUAGAAAUGAAUCACUCUGCUCAAAAUCAAGUGGAACAAUGUAAACAUUUCCUGGAAAUCCUCAUUGUGUUUCUGUGUCAUUA